AGACACAACUCUACUCAUUCAAAACUUCAAUUCCACAAAAAAAUAGCAAAAUCUCACCUAUAACUGUAUCUUAGAGUAACCAUCACACAUAGAGAAGAAAGAAGAAAACACAAAUUACUUGUUAAUAAACAGAAAUCGAUAGAGAUUUAGAGUUCCAUGCUUUAUCGGGUAAUCUUCACACACAGAAAAGAACAAAUAUUUAAAGGAGAUACCUUCAUGAUGAAAAAAUAGAGACGAAAUCAGUCUGGGAUGAAAUUUUGCAUCCGUUCCAAUUCCUAUCAUCACCAACAAAUAACAAUCUAUCAUCUCAGUGAAAAGAAUUUUGAUUCUAUUCAAACAACAUUAACCUUUAAAGGAACCAUUAUAUUGGUUCAUCUGCAAAGACCAAAAGAAAAGGAUUAUGCGAGAAGGGUCAUAGAUACCGAACAAAUUCUUAUCGACUUAUAGCGUGGGUGAAGCAAGGUUGAAGUGAUGAAGGUAUGCAAAAAUUAUGUGUUGGUGACUGGUCCGACGAUCUAUCACUCUUUCGAUGUGUCGAUUUCAUAUAUCGAUGGUGGAAG
rnacentral:lncRNA from 1 species